GUCUCUCACUCACUCCCUGCACACAUGCAUGCACACGCCACACACAUUUCCCUCUCACACGUCUCUUUCACACCUACAUGCAUGCAUGAUGCAUGUGCACCUCUCUCUUUGCACACUCACGCAGAAACAAGAGCAGCACGCCUCACCCUUCCUCUCUCCACUCAAUCACUCUUCUUUGCUCCUCCCCAGCGCAAGUAGCUGCAGCACUAAAGCCAAGAAAAACCAGAGCCCUGUUCCUUCCUGACGACGACCCACCGCUGCAAGCUCAGCUUCAACAACGACGCUGCCAACCAUGGCCUUGCUCACCGCCGCGACGUCAAGACGACGCCGCCGAGCUGAAGCCGCUGCCGGGAGCAACGACGACGUUGAGGACCGCGAGCAUGAGGAAGCCGAGCCGGAGAUCGACGCCGAUGCCGCGAGCCGGAGAACAACGCCAAAGCCGAACAGCAAACAUGCCGUCACUGCAUCACCACACCACGGCCUCACUUUGCUCCUUGUCUCGCCUUGACCUCCGACGAGCCCUAUGUCGCCGAGAGUUCGCAAAUGACGACGAGAAGAAGCCUGGAGUCUGGUGCCGCGAGUUAGGAAGUUCGUACCGCAAGCAGAAGCCCGGAGUACGUACCGCGAGCACGAGGACUAGUACCGCGAGAUGAAAAUCGAAACGCGUACCGCGAGUUGAACUACCCGUUUGUUGAGCGAAGGCAAGUCCAACAUUUUCCCUUUUGAUCAUGCUUAUCCCAGUUUUUAAAGUGCAUUCAAUUUGUAUAUGAAACCUUGAACUAUUUUACUGCUUGAUGUAGUUAAAUACCCAUUUGAAAGG